CUCGUGUAAUGCAAGAAUGAGGAAGUCAGCAGGACCUCAGCGAGAUUCUCAAGGACGCCCGGCCCUUUACAACACGGAGCGGCUGUAUUCCGUGGUGUUCCAGGAAAUCUGUGGUCGCUACGAGAAGGACUACAGCUGGGACGUCAAGUCGCUGGUCAUGGGCAAGACGGCCCUGGAAGCGGCUCAGAUCAUCAUCGACGUCCUGCAGCUGCCCAUGUCCAAGGAGGAGCUGGUGGAGGAGAGCCAGGCCAAGCUCCAGGGGCUGUUCCCCACCGCCCAGCUCAUGCCAGUGCCUGGUCUUCGAAGACGCUCCCAACGGGGUGGAGGCGGCCCUGGCGGCCGGGAUGCAGGUGGUGAUGGUCCCCGAUGAGCGCCUGAGCCGCGACCUGACGAGCAAGGCCACCCUGGUGCUGCGCUCCCUGCAGGACCUGCAGCCCGAGCUCUUCGGCUUGCCCGCCUACGACUGAGGGCCACCGCGCUCCGGCCGCUGCAGCGGGCCUCCUGGGCCCCGCCCACGAUCGGGGUCCACCUGCGGAGGGGAGGGGCGGAGGGAGACGGCAGCCCAGGUGCAGCCAUGUCAGCCCUGAGCUGGCGUGGCCCAGUUUUGCUCCAGGUUGAUGGCCGUCCACUGGACACUUGAGAGAGGACAGAGACCGUGCAGAGCAAGGUCCAGCGUACAGCACAUGCUGCGGGCACACAUGUUCCGUGUGGUCUGCGUGCCUGCUCCCUGCUCGCCAGGCACAGGACACGACACGCGGCCAUUCCCUUAUUCUAGUUCUCAACAUGGGCAGCUGCACCGUGUCGCCCCGUGUGCUGCGUGUAUGCACUGCUGUGUGUGCAGGCGUGUCGCACGCCCUCCGCUGCACACCCUGGGCCCCCACCGACUCCUCUGCUCCGCAGCCUG
rnacentral:lncRNA from 1 species